rnacentral:rRNA from 1 species
AUACCGGGCCUUUUUGGGCUUGGUAAUUGGAAUGAGGGAGAGUUAAACGGACCAUCGAGUAUCCAUUGGAGGGCAAGUCUGGUGCCAGCAGCUGCGGUAAUACCAGCUCCAAUAGCGUAUAUUAAAGUUGUUGCAGUUUAAAAGCUCGUAGUUGGACUUGUGUGCGCUGUCCGCGGGUGGCCUGCGCCCAAAAGGGCGUUUCGGUUCGGCCCCGGUGGCGCCUUGAAAUCUGCAGCUGGGGGGACGUUGGCCUUAACUGGUCGGCGACCGCACGCCGGCUGCUCGGUUACUGUGAGAAAAUUAGAGUGUUCAAGGCAGGCAUUGGGUGCAAUUGAAUACAUUAGCAUGGAAUAAUAAAAUAUGGCUCCUGCCGUAUUUUGUUGGUUUUGACUGGUGGGAGUAAUGAUUGAUAGGGACGGUUGGGGGUGCUAGUAUUGAGCGGCCAGAGGUGAAAUUCAUGGAUUCGCUCAAGACUAACUUAUGCGAAAGCAUUCACCAAGGACGUCCUCUUUAAUCAAGAACGAAAGUUGGGGGAUCGAAGACGAUCAGAUACCGUCGUAGUCUCAACCAUAAACUAUGUCGACUUGGGAUCGGCGGUAGUUUUUUCAUUAAGACACUGUCGGGACCACGGGAGAAAUCAAAGUGUCUGGACUCUGGGGGAAGUAUGGUCGCAAGGCUGAAACUUGAAGGAAUUGACGGAAGGGCACCACCAGGAGUGGAGCCUGCGGCUUAAUUUGACCCAACACGGGGAAACUUACCAGGUCCAGAGAUGUAGAGGAUUGACAGAUUGAAGCUCUUUCUUGAUCACUUCGGUGGUGGUGCAUGGCCGUUCUUAGUUGGUGGAGUGAUUUGUCUGGUUAAUUCCGUUAACGAUCGAGACCUCAGCCUGCUAGUGUAGUCGGCUGGAUUGCCUUUGGCGAUCCGUGAUUUCGACUUCUUAGAGGGACAAUCGACGCGCAGUCGAUGGAAGUUUGAGGCAAUAACAGGUCUGUGAUGCCCUUAGAUGUUCUGGGCCGCACGCGCGCUACACUGCUGGGCUCAGCGAGUUUUACUUGGCCGAGAGGCCCGGUUAAUCUUGUGAAAUCCCAACGUGCUUGGGCUCGCCUCCUGCAACUGGAGGCGCCAACGAGGAAUUCCUAGUAGACGCAGGUCAUCAACCUGCAUCGAUUACGUCCCUGCCCUUUGUACACACCGCCCGUCGUUCCAUAAGAGUGAGGCAUCCGGUGAAUUCUCGGGAGAGCCUGGGCGUGGCCAGCAAUGGUCUGCUCGGGUUUGAACUUGCAUAAACUUGGUGCCUAUGAUUAGGG